rnacentral:rRNA from 1 species
CAUAUCAGUAAGCGGAGGAAAAGAAACUAACCAGGAUUCUCCUAGUAACGGCGAGUGAACGGAGAUUAGCCCAUCACCGAAGUCUAUCCACGUUUGUGGACAGGACAAUGUGGUGUUUAGACAUGCCCCUGGGAGCGCUUGCCUACCCGAAGUCCAUCUCCGAUUCUGGCUUGGACUCGAUCCAUAGCGGGUGAAAGACCCGUGCGGGUAGGCUCUGAUGCAAUAAGCGAUCCUCAGAUGGGCGUGUCUUCGAGUCGGAUUGCUUGAGAAUGCAGUCCAAAGUGGGUGGUAAACUCCAUCCAAGGCUAAAUACUGGCACGAGUCCGAUAGUAGACAAGUACCGUGAGGGAAAGUUGAAAAGUACUCUGAAGAGAGAGUAAAGAGCACGUGAAGCCGCUUGCAGGGAAGCUGGUGGAGUCAAGCUUCAUGCCUGUGGGAUUGCUGUGAGAGAUGCAACUGGUGAUAGGGCCGUGGUGCUGGCAAGCCUGGAAACGGUUUGGUGCGCGCAAGUGCAUUUCAAGUCGCUCUGGGAAGAGUGUUUGUGCUGGUGCCAUUGUGUCCGUGUCUCUUGCGGUUUAUCCUACGCUGGCAUACAUCACGGUCGAUAGUAUCACUCAUGGUCUUGGUGCUGUGUGAGUGCUUAACCGUGUCUCAGUGGAUCUAACCGUCUGCUGGGCAUGGAAUGGCAGAAGGCACGUGUCAGCCUCGUGCUGGCACUGUGCGUAUGCUGGUUUUGACCUGCUAGUGCUCACGUACAGUAUCGAUCCUAUCGCUCUUCUGCGG